CCUACGGGCGGCUGCAGUAGGGAAUUUUGCGCAAUGGGCGAAAGCCUGACGCAGCCACGCCGCGUGAUCGAGACGCCCUUCGGGGUGUAAAGAUUUGUCAGUGGGGACGAAACUUGACGGUACCCACAGAGGAAGCACCGGCUCACUCCGUGCCAGCAGCCGCGGUACUACGGGGGGUGCAAGCGUUGUCCGGAAUCAUUGGGCGUAAAGCGUUCGUAGGCGGCACGGAAAGUCUGGUGUGAAAGGCAGAGGCUCAACUUCUGUACGGCACUUGAUACUUGCGAGCUAGAAUGCGGUAGAGGUAAAGGGAAUGCCUGGUGUAGCGGUGAAAUGCUUAGAUAUCAGGAAGAACAUCGGUUGCGUAAGCGCUUUACUGGGCCGUAAUUGACGCUGAGGAACGAAAGCGAGGGUAGCAAAUGGGAUUAGAUACCCCGGUAGUC
rnacentral:rRNA from 1 species